GUUCUCGCUUCAGCGGUAUAUGUACUUAAAUUGGAACGAUACAGAGAAGAAUAGUAUGCCCUCUGAGCAAGGAUGACGCGCAGAAUUGUGAAGCGUUCCAUAUUUUU
rnacentral:snRNA from 1 species